CUGCAGCCUGUUCUUUUGAAAGUUUCAUUGAAGAAUUUGCGCUAGUAGAUUCUUCUACUCCAAAUUCUUCACUUUUGAGUGGAGUGGUAUGGGGUGAUAUGGACUCUUCAAACAAGGCACAUCAAUCCACUGGUGCAGGAGGCGAGAACACCUGCCAUAGGAGAUGCAGCAGAGAAGGCCAAACGAAUGGUCCAGGAGGUUCUGGAAAAGAGUUCAGGGGGAGAGGAAAUAAUGGAGGAUUAUAGAAGAUCAAGCACCUUGAUUCACUGCACAAGAAGACUUCUUGUGAAUAUUCCAUCAGCCACAUGAUUGAAAUGCAUGGGAACACUUCUACGACCCUGUGAGUGGGACAGGCUAUGGCAUGGCGUCCAGAAACUGCGGCG